rnacentral:rRNA from 1 species
ACCCUACACCUUACCAAACAAUCCUACCACCCUCUCUCCUUCACUUAUCUAAAUAAUCAAAUCCCCUCCCUAUCUCUUUUAAAUUUAUAGUCACUACUUUACACACUCUAACUAUAUCUCUCUAAUAAUACAAACUCUAAACCCCUAAAUUAUUUGGAAUUAUUUUGGCCCCAUGGUCCAAGGCCCCCAGGGGAGGAAACUCGCAAAAUUUCCCCUUUCCGGGAA